AGUGAACGCUGGCGGUAGGCCUAACACAUGCAAGUCGAACGGCAGCACAGUAAGAGCUUGCUCUUACGGGUGGCGAGUGGCGGACGGGUGAGGAAUACAUCGGAAUCUACUUUUUCGUGGGGGAUAACGUAGGGAAACUUACGCUAAUACCGCAUACGACCUACGGGUGAAAGCAGGGGAUCUUCGGACCUUGCGCGAUUGAAUGAGCCGAUGUCGGAUUAGCUAGUUGGCGGGGUAAAGGCCCACCAAGGCGACGAUCCGUAGCUGGUCUGAGAGGAUGAUCAGCCACACUGGAACUGAGACACGGUCCAGACUCCUACGGGAGGCAGCAGUGGGGAAUAUUGGACAAUGGGGGCAAGCCUGAUCCAGCCAUACCGCGUGGGUGAAGAAGGCCUUCGGGUUGUAAAGCCCUUUUGUUGGGAAAGAAAAGCAGCAGGUUAAUACCCCGCUGUUCUGACGGUACCGGAAGAAUAAGCACCGGCUAACUUCGUG
rnacentral:rRNA from 1 species